GGUGCUGAGGAGGAUCGAGACUCUCGCUUUUCGUGCAGUUGGGUGGUUACUAUGGAAAGUGAUUUUAUAGUGUUUGUUUUGUAGUCUGUGAGUGUCGGUGUCUCUAAGGUGUGUUUCUUGUAAGAGGGAUCGAAACUUGGCGGCAUUUGAGGUCUUGAAGGAGGUGAGCUUGUUUUUCAGGUGUGUUCAGGACUCUGCAGUGUUGUGU